rnacentral:misc_RNA from 1 species
UGCUUUUUUGUCAAAAGUUAAUCGCUGCUUGUCAUUUGCCACUUGACACAAUUGAGCCGUCCUCUUCAUAAAAUUGGCGACGAGUAGCGAUUUUUGGGCUCUGUUGUUUAGGGCCUGGACUGUUUGGGCUUUUUUAUUGAUAGUUAGAAGUCUUGAAAAGCAAUUUUGGUGGAAGUUGCAAUCAAAGAAUUAAUGUCAUUGGCGUCAAGGGAAAGGAAGGAAGGAGGUUGAAGAUUCCACAGUUUAAAGGAUAUUCUUUUGGUUAUCCCAUCUGUAAGUGAAUCCAUUCUCUCAGCAUUAUUAAAUUUCUGCUGUUAUUCUAAUUCUUGCUUUCUGGGUUUCGCUGCUAUGUAAUUGAGGAUUUUUAGUGUUCAAUUGCUUGCUUGACUUUGAAAUUGAAGAGACUAUAAUUUGAUUAGAGUCCCUUACAUGUUUGUGUCAGACAGUUAUUUUAUGAAAUUUUUUAACUGGGUAGUUGAUUGUUAUAAUAGUAGAUUGAGCAGUAGGUAUAUUCCCACAAGUUUUUUGUUUCACUUACCAAAAUGCACUUGAAAACUCUAUUUAUUUUUCUGCUACUCAAUGGAGAUUUUGUUAUUCUGCAAUUCAAUUGGUCCUUUUCACUCAUAGUUCUUCCCUUGAUUGUUCUCACUAAUUUAAUUAUACAAGUCAAUCUUGAAUAUGUUCUGAGUAUCUAAUGUAUUUUCUGUCCUCUAUAAUACAUCCUUCUGCACUUUAGCAGAAAAUUUUGGAAAUUUGAGUAGUAUAGUUCAACAACAAAUCUACUUCUAGCACAACAUAAAAGAGAGAGAGAGAACAAAAUCAAAUAAACUCCCAUUUUGCAUUCAUUUCAGACUUUAAUGGGUGAGACAGAUGUGAAAAGGAGAAGUGUGGGUGCUCCCAGUAGCAUGAGAAAUGGAAGACACAAGGCAAUUGAUCCAUCAUUUCUUGUGCAGCUACCAAACAAGCUUCGAAAUUGUUUAAAGCUCAGGAAAUUAGUAAAAGAUAAAGAGGAAGCAACCUCAGUAAGGAAGGAAGAAGGAUCAUCUGCCACUUUGAGGAUUGAUCUUGAGAGGCAAUUAAGAAGUUGGAGAGAAAAUCCUUCAUGGGUUGAUCAGCCUCCAGAGAUAAAGGUCAGUGUACCAAAGGUUUCUCUGUGCAACCUUAAUGUGAAAGUUAAUGUUGGGUUGCCUCCAGCUGCAGUGUAUGAUACAAUGACUGACCCUGACUAUAGAAGAGUUUUCAAAAACAUCAAGGUAAAAUUGAAUUUCUCAUUCUCUAUUCUUUCUUUUCAAUUAGCAAAGUGAUUCCCUAGAAAAAUUAUUAGGUAGUCAAAAAAGUUUCUAUUUUUAGUUGUUUGUUAUUUGUUUUAUUUUUCACAAUAGUUAUUCUUGUGACUAUUUAUUUGAAAUUUUAAGCAUUUCAUCAAAAUUUUAUUUUGAUUUGAGGGGAAAAAAAAAGUAAUAUCCAGGAAAGUUCUGCUUGAUGAGGGUCCAAGGCAGGUGGUUGAAGUGGAACAAUCAGCUGUAUGGAAAUUUCUUUGGUGGUCUGGGACCAUUUCAGUUCAUGUUUUAGUCAACCAGAACAGAAGAUCUGACGGUAAGGAUUUGCAUUUCUCUUUACACUAUUGUUGUUCUUGCUACAAAUAAUAUGAAGCAUGUGUUUAACUCUGCUCACUGAGGAAAGCUUAUUUUUUUUCUCUUCAUUGCCUAUUAUAUCAGCCUCAUAUGUUCAUAGAAUUUCUUAAACAUAAGAGGCAGAUCUGGUCUUAAUGAUUUCAGUGCUCAGAGGCAAGGGUGUGUUAUAGGAAAGCAGGGGCUGUGUGCGAAUUGGAAGUUUAUUAUAUUGGUUUUGGUUUGUACCUUUUAUAUCGGGUGCAUUUUGGCUACCUUGCUGGCAAUAAAUUCUCUGAUCCAUUUAUUCUUUUGGAGUUCAUUUCCAGAAAUUAGGCUUGCUGAACAUAGCUCUCUCCAUAGCCUUAUAACACUCCUAUUUCUAGUCAUAUUGGUUUGAGUAUCUUUUAUUACAUUGUACAUUACCUCAUCCAUAUUUUAUUUUUCAUCCUGUCUUCAUCUUUUACCAUUGCUCCUGAGUUUUGUGGCUCCAAGUCUUAUUCAGAGGUCGUAUAUUGGUAAAUUUACUUUAUAUCACCUUGGUUGUGUUAAACACAGAAAAAUUCAUUCUAGCAGAUUGAUGAUUCUGCCAUAACUAAUGAUUUGCUUGACAGAUGAAAUUCAAGCAAGUGCAAACCGGGUUCAUGAAAAAAUUUGAAGGAUGCUGGAGGGUAGAACCUGUGUUCGUUGAUGAAUGCCUCUGCCAUCCAUUCAAACCUAAAACAUGGAUAGACUAUUAUUCAUGUACAGGAGGCAAAGGAAGAAUAGGAUCAAAGGUGAGCUUGGAGCAGAUAAUCCAGCCAACACUAGUUCCACCACCACCCAUUUCCUGGUAUCUAAUAGGAAUCACCUCUAGGACCACUGAAAUGAUUGUAAAUGAUCUGAUUGCUGAAGCUGCCAGAAUCAGAGGGGAUUUUAGUACUGCAGGGUCCAAAGGAUCUGAAACAUCUCAGGACUUAUACGAUGAACAAGGAAAUGACAAGUCAUCUGAUAUUAAAGAGAAAUGGGCGCCGCAUAGGAGAAAUGCAAAGAAGCAUCACAGAAGAUUGUUGAGUGCUGAAUGAUCUAAUUAAUUGUUAGUUUUGUUCUGUAUUCUUUUGUAAUAUUGGAACUGGAUAGCAAUAUUCAUCAAACAUCUAUAUCUAGCUAAAGAUCUUUGUUCUUUUUCACCACUCUUCAACUGUUAGGUUGUAUCAAUUAACUGUAAGCCCUGUUUGAAAUCAGCUGAUAUAACUGUUAAAGCAAGCACACUGCUCAUAUCAAUUGAGAACACUGAUACUUUCAGC